CCUACGGGGUGCUGCAGUGGGGAAUAUUGGACAAUGGGCGAAAGCCUGAUCCAGCCAUGCCGCGUGUGUGAAGAAGGCCUUCGGGUUGUAAAGCACUUUCAGUGGGGAAGAAAGCCUUGGGGCUAAUACCCUCGAGGAAGGACAUCACCCACAGAAGAAGCACCGGCUAACUCCGUACCAGCAGCCGCGGUAAUACGGAGGGUGCGAGCGUUAAUCGGAAUUACUGGGCGUAAAGCGCGCGUAGGCGGUCUGAUAAGCCGGUUGUGAAAGCCCCGGGCUCAACCUGGGAACGGCAUCCGGAACUGUCAGGCUAGAGUGCAGGAGAGGAAGGUAGAAUUCCCGGUGUAGCGGUGAAAUGCGUAGAGAUCGGGAGGAAUACCAGUGGCGAAGGCGGCCUUCUGGACUGACACUGACGCUGAGGUGCGAAAGCGUGGGUAGCAAACAGGAUUAGAUACCCCGGUAGUC
rnacentral:rRNA from 1 species